UAGUUUAUGCUUCAGUUUGUUGAUUAUAAAUAACCAACCAAGAUAUAUAGAAAUAUCUUGCUUUAGGGGCUGCACUGAAAUCUUUAGAGUACUUGGACAACAUCUUCAUUGCUUCCACAAUCUUGAAUACUUCAAUCUUUAUUCUUCACUGAGGCAUGAACAUAUUAAUGAACUUCUUCCAGUGAACUUAUUCCUUCAAGACUGUAGAUGGCUUCUUCAACCUUUGCCUUCGUAUCUUCCGAUUCCGGUGCAGGCGUAGUGUUAUUUACUUGUCCUGUUCUAUUGUUGAGUUAUCAUCCCUAUGUAACAGAUAGGGUUGUCUUUACAUUUAGACUUACAAUCUCCCCCUAUUUGUUUGUUAAUCAUAACAAGCAAAUCCUCUGGAGGAUAACUCAACUAACACUAGAAAAAGUAAAGCCCUGGACUAGUAAAUAAUGCUACAAAGUUUCUGGAUCAUAUAAUACAUUUCCAGAUUUCAUGAAUAUAAAUAAAAAAAUGUGCAUAUCACCUUUAUUUCUCUUGUUCUUGCUUACCUGCCUGAAAAUCCUCAUAGUCUGUCUUGAAGAGAAUUCAAGACAUUCCAUUAUGCAAAGAACAAUCAGCAGCUUCAUUGAAUUCUUCAGUGGUAAUGAAUAAGUUCCUGUCUACCACUUACUGAGGCAUAAAUGUAUCACCUUAUACUUCUCCUCCCGUUACCUUGAUCAGGUCCCCCUUAGCGAUAAGGAGUUGUCUCCCCUUAGAUGAAAGAUCAAUCCUCCUCCUUAGUUGAAAGAUGAAUCUCCCCUCAGUAGUACACCACUAAAGAGUAGUUUACUCCCCUCAGUAGUACACAGCUAAAGAGUAGUUUAAUCCCCCUUAGUUGUAGACAGCUAAAGAAAGCUAACUUACUUUUUCUUCCCCCUUUCAUAAAUUCUCCCCCUAAAUAUAUUCUCCCCCUUGGUUGUGGAAUCCUCCAAGGAUAUGUGGUAUCAAAUAGGUCAAGGAAUGUGUACAAUACUUCCUGUACCAAAAGAUAAUCUCCCUAUAGAGAACUAAACAACACUAAAGCUGGGGUCGAAGAAAGAGUUCAGAAGAAGGGUUUACUUUGAUUGGGUUGGUCCUUAUGCUGAAAGAAUAGGUUCCAAACGGAAAAGUAAUGAAUAAGAACUGACAUUCCAGUAAC
rnacentral:lncRNA from 1 species